rnacentral:rRNA from 2 species
CCGAACCGACUAAUGUUGAAAAAUUAGCGGAUGACCUGUGGCUGGGGGUGAAAGGCCAAUCAAACCGGGAGAUAGCUGGUUCUCCCCGAAAGCUAUUUAGGUAGCGCCUCGUGAAUUCAUCUCCGGGGGUAGAGCACUGUUUCGGCUAGGGGGCCAUCCCGGCUUACCAACCCGAUGCAAACUGCGAAUACCGGAGAAUGUUAUCACGGGAGACACACGGCGGGUGCUAACGUCCGUCGUGAAGAGGGAAACAACCCAGACCGCCAGCUAAGGUCCCAAAGUCAUGGUUAAGUGGGAAACGAUGUGGGAAGGCCCAGACAGCCAGGAUGUUGGCUUAGAAGCAGCCAUCAUUUAAAGAAAGCGUAAUAGCUCACUGGUCGAGUCGGCCUGCGCGGAAGAUGUAACGGGGCUAAACCAUGCACCGAAGCUGCGGCAGCGACACUGUGUGUUGUUGGGUAGGGGAGCGUUCUGUAAG